GAUGAACGCUAGCUACAGGCUUAACACAUGCAAGUCGAGGGGUAACGUGAGUGAAGCUUGCUUUGCUUGACGACGACCGGCGCACGGGUGCGUAACGCGUAUCCAACCUUCCCCAUGCUAGGGAAUAGCCCGUUGAAAGACGGAUUAAUGUCCUAUGAGAUGCGAAGAUGGCAUCAGAUUUGCAUUAAAGAUUUAUCGGCAUGGGAUGGGGAUGCGUAGGAUUAGGUAGUCGGCGGGGUAACGGCCCACCGAGCCAUCGAUCCUUAGGGGUUCUGAGAGGAAGGUCCCCCACACUGGUACUGAGACACGGACCAGACUCCUACGGGAGGCAGCAGUGAGGAAUAUUGGUCAAUGGGCGAGAGCCUGAACCAGCCAAGUAGCGUGCAGGAUGACGGCCUUAUGGGUUGUAAACUGCUUUUAUGAGGGGAUAACGUGUGGCACGUGUGCCAUAUUGCAGGUACCUCAUGAAUAAGGACCGGCUAAUUCCGUGCCAGCAGCCGCGGUAAUACGGAAGGUCCGGGCGUUAUCCGGAUUUAUUGGGUUUAAAGGGAGCGUAGGCGGUACUAUAAGCGUGACGUGAAAUGUUUUGGCUCAACCAUGACACUGCGUCGCGAACUGUUGUACUUGAGUAUGCUGAAAGGCGUGCGGAAUUCGUGGUGUAGCGGUGAAAUGCUUAGAUAUCACGAGGAACUCCGAUUGCGAAGGCAGCUCGCUGCGGUUUUACUGACGCUGAAGCUCGAAGGCGCGGGUAUCGAACAGGAUUAGAUACCCUGGUAGUCCGCGCGGUAAACGAUGGAUGCCCGCUGUGUGGCCAUUUCGGUUGCGCGGGCCAAGCGAAAGCGUUAAGCAUCCCACUGGGGAGUACGCCGGCAACGGUGAAACUCAAAGGAAUUGACGGGGGCCCGCACAAGCGGAGGAACAUGUGGUUUAAUUCGAUGAUACGCGAGGAACCUUACCCGGGCUUGAACUGCAGCAGAACGAUUCAGAGAUGAUGAGGCCCUUCGGGGCUGCUGUGGAGGUGCUGCAUGGUUGUCGUCAGCUCGUGCCGUGAGGUGUCGGCUUAAGUGCCAUAACGAGCGCAACCCCUUUCUUCAGUUGCCAUCAGGUUAUGCUGGGCACUCUGUAGAUACUGCCGCCGCAAGGUGGAGGAGGGUGGGGAUGACGUCAAAUCAGCACGGCCCUUACGUCCGGGGCUACACACGUGUUACAAUGGGCGGUACAGUGAGUCGGUGCGUGGUGACGCGCAUCCAAUCCUGAAAGCCGUUCCCAGUUCGGAUUGGGGUCUGCAACCCGACCCCAUGAAGCUGGAUUCGCUAGUAAUCGCGCAUCAGCCAUGGCGCGGUGAAUACGUUCCCGGGCCUUGUACACACCGCCCGUCAAGCCAUGAAAGCCGGGGGCGCCUGAAGUCCGUGACCGCGAGGGUCGGCCUAGGGUGAAACCGGUGAUUGGGGCUAAGUCGUAACAAGGUAGCCGUACCGGAAGG
rnacentral:rRNA from 1 species